AGGGAAACCGAGUCUUAACCGGGCGUUAAGUUGCAGGGUAUAGACCCGAAACCCGGUGAUCUAGCCAUGGGCAGGUUGAAGGUUGGGUAACACUAACUGGAGGACCGAACCGACUAAUGUUGAAAAAUUAGCGGAUGACCUGUGGCUGGGGGUGAAAGGCCAAUCAAACCGGGAGAUAGCUGGUUCUCCCCGAAAGCUAUUUAGGUAGCGCCUCGUGAACUCAUCUCCGGGGGUAGAGCACUGUUUCGGCUAGGGGGCCAUCCCGGCUUACCAACCCGAUGCAAACUGCGAAUACCGGAGAAUGUUAUCACGGGAGACACACGGCGGGUGCUAACGUCCGUCGUGAAGAGGGAAACAACCCAGACCGCCAGCUAAGGUCCCAAAGUCAUGGUUAAGUGGGAAACGAUGUGGGAAGGCCCAGACAGCCAGGAUGUUGGCUUAGAAGCAGCCAUCAUUUAAAGAAAGCGUAAUAGCUCACUGGUCGAGUCGGCCUGCGCGGAAGAUGUAACGGGGCUAAACCAU
rnacentral:rRNA from 3 species